GCACACGUGGCCGAGUGGUCAAGGCGUUGGUUUUAGGCACCAAUUUCGAAAGAUUCGUGGGUUCGAACCCCACCGUGUGCA
rfam:Entamoeba invadens IP1 unplaced genomic scaffold scaff_1105074726495, whole genome shotgun sequence.